AUGGUCCACCGCCCGUUCAUCCGCAAGGCCAUCAAUAAUGUGUUCUACCGCUUCAUCUUUGAGACCGAGCGCCACAAUGGCAUUGGCGAGCUGCUUGAGAUUCUCGGCAGCAUAAUUAAUGGCUUUGCCCUGCCUAUGAAGGAGGAGCACAAGCUGUUCCUCAGCCGUGCGCUCAUCCCGCUGCACAAGCCCAAGUCUGUCGGAAUCUACCACCAGCAGCUGUCCUAUUGCAUUGUCCAGUUUGUCGAGAAGGACUACAAACUUGCCGAUGCGGUCAUCAGGGGUCUGCUCAAGUACUGGCCAGUCAUAAAUUGCCAGAAGGAGGUGCUGUUUUUGGGGGAGCUCGAGGAAGUGCUCGAGGCCACACAGCCUGCUGAGUUCCAGCGGUGCAUGGUGCCGCUGUUUAAGCAGAUAGGGCGCUGCCUUAACAGUGCCCAUUUCCAGUGUUUAUCCAGGUUUGAAUGUAAAUCUGCACCAUCUAGCUUAUGCCGAUCAGUUUGUUGGUGA
rnacentral:rRNA from 1 species